GUGUAUGAUGAAUUAUCUGACC
rnacentral:miRNA from 1 species